GGCUACUUGGCGCUCACUUUUGUUGCUUAACAUAUGAUUUAUGCAAGUCACAAUGAAAAUUAUUCAACUUGUUCAUCGUAAUUAUUUUAAUCAAUUAAUUUUGAUAAUUCAGCUAUUCUGUUACUCAUAAUCUGUAACAAGUGAUGGAGUUGGCGUUUAAGGAUGGUUUCCUUUACUGUUUUCAUUGGAUUUGGUCAGAAGAUCUUUUAACCCAAAAAUGCUACAAGUACGAUUAACAAUUUGGUUGGAGAUACAUUGAUGUGAAUCACUAUCGGGGAGAAACAUUUGAAUUAUCUACUCGGAAAGCUGAUCAAUCUCCUAUGUUUCUGGUUAUAGAUGACAUUGGACCUGUUUGCAUGUCGAUGGCAUUAAAAGUGGAUUAUUUUUGUAACUCCUAUUGGGUGCUCUAUUCCGUUUCUCAUUGGUCUCUUUCUAAUGGAUAAAGUCGAUCAUAAAAUGGAUUUAUUUGUUCAUCAUCUUUCUUUUAAUUUUCCUUCACAAUUUAUUCUUUCGUUCUUUUUUUCUUUCCUUCCUUCGCCCCUUCUUUCUCCUUCUCUCUUCCUCCUCAUUCAUCCAUCCUCCCACCCUGCCUCAUCUAGCCUCUAACACUUUAUGGUCUACUUGCUACAUUUACUUGUAUUAUUUGACUGAGGUACAUUAAGAAUAAGUUUAUUAUGCAAAAUUAACUAACAAUGAGUAAAUCAAGAUUAUACUCAACAUUUAUAGUUUGAUUUAUGGGCGAUCAUUUGAACUUUCAAUUCUUAAAUGAAAUGAAAAUCAUUGAAUUAUAGUUUCUUCAUCGCUUAUUACCGUUUAUAUAUGACCUUUUCAAAUUGGACAAUUGAUAUAACUAAAUACUAAGCUUAAUCAAUUAUUCAUGGCUGUCAAUAGUCAAGUUUAAGUCAGGUCAAAAGUCAGAUUCCAAUUGGAUGUCAUUUUAUCGCCAGUUUUUAAUACUUCCUGAAGUUUGUUAUGGGACAAGAAGCGCAAAAAAAGUAUAAAAUGAUAAAUUGUGUUGAUUUGAUUGGCCAUUUAUUAUAAAGGUGUUAUCCAUGGAUUAUAAUUGAAUGGAAACUGUAAUUGGUUCAAUUGGAUUGGAAUCGGGAUUGACAUUGGUCCACAUCUUUGAUGGGUUUUAAUAUGCUUUUUAAGAUGAUCUUUACGACCAAAUCUCUUUGAACAUAUUGAACAAGAGAAAGGCCUUAAUCCACUGUGAAUACGUUUAUGUCGAGUCAACUCUUCAUUUCUAGUAAACGUUUUGCCACAAUUUUCAUGAUCACAAGCAAAUGGACGUUCACCUGUUAAUAAAAAGAGAUAAAGAUGCAAAUCAAUUAA